rnacentral:misc_RNA from 1 species
GAUGAAGAACGCAGCGAAAUGCGAUAAGUAAUGUGAAUUGCAGAUUUCAGUGAAUCAUCGAAUCUUUGAACGCACCUUGCGCCUUGUGGUAUUCCACAAGGCAUGCCCGUUUGAGUAUCAUUAAAUCAUCAACUCUAAAACCUUUGUGGUUUUUUUAGAGCUUGGUCUUGAGGGUUUUGCAGGCUUUUUUUUUUCGAGUCUGCUCCCUUUAAAUGCAUUAGCGAGACUUCCCUAUGCUGAACCGUCUGUUUGACGUGAUAAUUAUCUGCGUCGAAUUUUGGUUCUCGUUGGGCUUGCUUCUAAUCGUCUGUUAAAGACAAAACGGAUUUGGGUGCAUAUAUGCGCCUUUUUCCAAAACCUUUUUUGAUCUCAAAUCGGGUAGGACUACCCGCUGAACUUAAGCAUAUCAAUAAGCGGAGGA